AGGCAGACUCGUAGGUAAGCAGAUCAAAUGUUACACAAACACAGUAGCUGUUCUUUGAGAAUAUGGUUGUGUGUAGAAGAGUUUUUGCGUUGCAGUUCAGCCAUUAUAUGAACAAUGUGGAAUUAUUAAUUGAGGACAGCGUAGCUGGGUGUUUAGUAAUGCAUCAUCUAAUGGACAGUAUAUGUGCCUGUUCUGUAGCAAGCAUCCUUCUUUUAUGCUUUCAAAAAAAUAAAAAUGUAGCAGUAGCCCGAGGGAAAGAGGGGAGGGAAGAGAAACAAUUUACCUUAAUGACAUGGUUUGCUUAAGAAUUAAGUGUUGAUGAAAGUUGAAAGCUAAAGCUUACUUUUUAAUUCACAGACCAGCUGCAACACAGCAUGAGGAGAGAGUGGGGGGUUGGCCGUUUCAUUUGCUAAAACACCUUUCUCCUGCAUUCAACAUCCUCAGGAAAGAAAGAUGAAUCCAGACAGCAAAUGUUAAGGGGGCUUAAAAAAGAAUGCAGUCAUCAGCAAACACAACAGUGCACACAGAAAACAGGAAGGUGGAAGCAUUCAAAAGUACUAAAGAAAACCCUCCCCGUGCUCUUGCCAAACUCCUAAUAAUUUUGGCUUUCCAAAAAAUAAAAAAUAAAGUUGGAUUAUUCUGCUCUUCAUGUAUCAAAACAACCAAUUAACACAGCUAAUUAACGUCAUGAACAGCAGUCAAAAGAAUGGUAAUUUAAAUUCAGGAUUUCAAAGCUUUGCUGAUCGUGGGCCAAUGCAGCUAAGCACAGGGAGGUUGAAAGUGUUUGCUUAUUGCAAUACAAUUUUAUAGUGUACCAUCAAUUAGCAGCAUCACAGGGAAUGCUCACUCGCAUGAUUCAUUUGUCUAAUCAGAACAAAAAAAGGGACGAAAAAGAGAGGGGGAGAAAUAACACUCCUUAAUGUAUGCAGUAUCAAUUUUUCCAAAUAAUUUAUACCGUAGCUGGAAAUGAUUGUGAAGAACAAAUUGUCCUUCUUUAAAGUGUACUGGCAUACAGAGUUUGUUUUUCUUCCCUCUAGGGCGUUCAGAAUAUGAAAUAUGGCACAACAGGGUCAAAGAAUCCUAGGACAUUUUUGAAAUCAUUCCUUAAGAAGUUUGCAGACACAGACAUGUCUGCUCAGAUGUAAAUCCCACUGAGUUCAAUGGAACUUACUCCCAAGUAGGUGUGUACAGGAUUGCAAAUUACUAGCAAAAUAAAGACUGUCAGAGGAUAUCAUGAUUUGCCCCUAGCAUCUUGGUAUCUUUUGGACACAAAAUGCCUGUAGUGAACAUGGCCAAGAAUAUCCAGGAAAGGAUAUUGUAACUUCUGUUGUGAAAUUCUCUCUUGCCAUUGCUUUCAACACUGCACACAUCCUCAUCAUCCAGACACUCUGCCUCUUGCUUCUUCCAUGCGCACAGUGCACUGGUGCUGCCAUCUUGCUUAAAAACAGCCAUUUCUUGUGUUUUCUGUCACAUCUGCCCACUCUUUAGAUUUUGAAGAUUCUACCAGCAACCCAUCCCUGUCCUCAACACUUGAGAAGUUUACUCCUCUCUUCCAGUAAACUAUUCUCCUAGAUCAUCUUU